CUCUCUCUCUCUCUCUGCAGGAUCACCUCAAAACCAUUAUUCCUUUGUAGUUCAUCGCCGAGGGAGGCUUGAUUCUCAUCGUCAGAAAUCCAUGUAAGGAAAACCCUAACCGUGCAUCUAAUGCAUCACCCACCUCCACGAAAUGUAUGCAUGCGUGAAGGCGGGGCAUUUUUAUGGCACCUUCUUUGUCUAUAUAUUUUUUUAAUUUUUGGUAAUGUGGAUUUUCAAUGAAUGAAUGGGGUUUGGGUCUGUUUGGAUGCUUGGAAUUGCCAUACAUUCAGAUCAUCUCAAGUCUAGAUGAUCAUCUCAUUUUUGGGCUCGAGGUGCUCUAGAUGCACAAGAUUUGAAGGACAAUAUCUUAAGAGUAGGGGAAAGGAAGAUUUCAAUGCCAUUUUUGCAAGGUUUACAACUUCAAGAGGGGUGUUUUGUGUGGAUGUUGCUGAUAUUUAUAAUACAAUCUCCCUCCUAUAUUUCAUGCAUGCUAACUAUUUGAUAAAAUGGCUCAACAAGAAGUGUUUUGUGUGGAUGUAGCUGAUAUUUAUAAUACAAUCUCCCUCUUGUAUUUCAUGCAUGCUAAUUGUUUGAUGAAAUGGCUCAAGAAGGAAUGAGAAGCUAGCACUACUAUCAUUAGGCUAUGAUCUGACUAAUCCUUGAUCUUGGGCGUGUGGAGAAAAGUUUAUCAAGAUUGAGCAGGUGCGUGUUUACAAAGAGCUAGCACUCACAAUUCCUGAAACUCUGGGAAUUGUGCAGCAUGGGAUUUUGAACAACAUAAGUCAGAAGGCAAGUCUUGACUAAAGUGAAGGAGUGGCUCGAGCUGUUAGUGAGGUUGUAGUUGGCAAUUCAGUCAAGUGAGAUCUUACACAUUUCAUUCCAUAACCUUCAUAUCACUAGAGGAUAGUUGCAGAGCCAUUGGAUAUCAUAAGAGGAUCUUAUGUCGGAUUUUUUAGGUCAGUAGGAUCAUCAUCAUCUUAACAUUUCUCCCAACAAUUUUAGUAGUUUCAGCCCAAUGUGAUCCUCUACUGCGGUCUUUCUUAAUGCAGAACGUUGUUGAUAUUGUAGGUUCAACUGAAACCAUUGGUUGAUCAACUUACAAGAGGGAAAGAACGUUGUUGAUAUUGUAGGUUCAAUUGAACAAGCACUCUAAAGAAUGCUUUCGAGGAAGGGGGAGAACUUUAUGGGAAGAAGGUUUACCUCUUUGGCUGCACAGAAUGUAA